rnacentral:rRNA from 1 species
UAACGGUUGUUGGGGUGGGUAGGGGAGCGUCGUGUGCCGGGUGAAGCAGCCGUGUAAGCGAGUUGUGGACGGUUCACGAGUGAGAAUGCAGGCAUGAGUAGCGAUACAAGAGUGGGAAACUCUUGCGCCGAUUGACUAAGGGUUCCUGGGUCAAGCUGAUCUGCCCAGGGUAAGUCGGGACCUAAGGCGAGGCCGACAGGCGUAGUCGAUGGAUAACCGGUUGAUAUUCCGGUACCCGUGAUGCAGCGACCAACACUGAAUCUUCUGAUGCUAAGGCCGUGAAGCCGCCUUUGAUCCCUUCGGGGUGAUGGGGAGUGGUGGAGCCGCUGAACCAAGGUGGUAGUAGGUGAGUGAUGGGGUGACGCAGGAAGGUAGUCCAUCCCGGGCGGUGGUUGUCCCGGGGUAAGGGUGUAGGACGUCAUGUAGGUAAAUCCGCAUGGCAUAUAAGUCUGAGACCUGAUGCCGAGCCGUUUGUGGUGAAGUGGAUGAUCCUAUGCUGUCGAGAAAAGCCUCUAGCGAUGUUGUGUUGCGGCCCGUACCCUAAACCGACUCAGGUGGUCAGGUAGAGAAUACCGAGGCGUUCGGGUGAACUAUGGUUAAGGAACUCGGCAAAAUGCCCCCGUAACUUCGGGAGAAGGGGGGCCACACCUGGUGAA